AGGUAACUUCUCUCUUUCCUCUUAGAAGCCAGGUAUCAGUAGAUAACCUGGAACACCAGAAGAGAGGCAGCAACUCAGAUCACACAGCAGGGUUCCUUUUGAGUUGGGGCUCUUGGAAAAAAAGUAUUGAUCUCAAGAUUGUGUUUAAGAACUUGGAUUCUGGAAACAGAGUAUCUGGCUCGACACUGACUCUCUGACAUUAGGUUAGUUAGCAAACAUCCUGACCAGUUGCAUCUGUGAAUGACUGCAGGGAGGAAGAAAUUAACACAUCCCCUCUAGGGAGCUGAUGGGAGCCAGGAGAUGUUCGACUACUCCCUUCUCUUUUAGUAUAAGAGAAACCUAAAUUCUAACUCAGGCAAGCUGGUUCUUUGUGGGGAUGAGCCCAUCAUCUUGGCUUGCUGACUUUUCCAAAUAAAGUCGUUAUUCCUUGCCCCAAACUUGUCUCUUGAUUACUGGCCUGUCCUGUGGUGACCCAGUAACAGGAGGAUGUAUCAUCCACUGCCUAAUUGUGGUUUGACCCCUUCUUACAAACAUGGAGUUUGGGGUCUGCAUUUUGUCAUAGAAGCACAAGGUCCUUUCUGGGGCUUUCCCUCAACUAGCUUUCCCUCAAGCCCAGGGGUCUGCUGAUAUCUUUCACUACCCUUUCUUGGUUGUGGUUUUACAAAGAGGAAGUCUUUGGAGCUAGUCUUGGUUGAAUUCAAAUACUAUCCUCAUCUCUAAUUAGCUGUGUGAUCUUAGGCAAGUUAUUUUACCUCUCUGAACCUUGGGUUCACAUGUGAAAUGGCGUUAAUAAAACUUUCCUAAAAAGGUUGUUAUGAGAAACAAUAAAGGAUUCUGGAUGAUACCUGGCCCAGUUCUUAGGACAAAACAGGUACUUGGUAGCCAGUAUUCCAUGCCUUUCUACUGCCUGCUCUCUGCUCUGCCCCAGGGAGCAAGUAUUCUUUGUUCUAAUACAUAACAGGCAUGUGGUGGUAGGGGCUGGAGGCUGGACCUUGACUUUGCUCUGACCCAGAAGACCU
ensembl:lncRNA